rnacentral:rRNA from 1 species
AUUGAACGCUGGCGGCAGGCUUAACACAUGCAAGUCGAGCGGAGUGAUGGUGCUUGCACUAUCACUUAGCGGCGGACGGGUGAGUAAUGCUUAGGAAUCUGCCAUUUAGUGGGGGACAACAUUCCGAAAGGAAUGCUAAUACCGCAUACGUCCUACGGGAGAAAGCAGGGGAUCUUCGGACCUUGCGCUAAAUGAUGAGCCUAAGUCGGAUUAGCUAGUUGGUGGGGUAAAGGCCUACCAAGGCGACGAUCUGUAGCGGGUCUGAGAGGAUGAUCCGCCACACUGGGACUGAGACACGGCCCAGACUCCUACGGGAGGCAGCAGUGGGGAAUAUUGGACAAUGGGCGGAAGCCUGAUACAGCCAUGCCGCGUGUGUGAAGAAGGCCUUUUGGUUGUAAAGCACUUUAAGCGAGGAGGAGGCUACUAGUACUAAUACUACUGGAUAGUGGACGUUACUCGCAGAAUAAGCACCGGCUAACUCUGUGCCAGCCGCCGCGGUAAUAC